rnacentral:rRNA from 1 species
GUCGACCUACGGGGGGCAGCAGUCGGGAAUAUUGCGCAAUGGAGGAAACUCUGACGCAGUGACGCCGCGUAUAGGAAGAAGUUUUUCGGAAUGUAAACUAUUGUCGUUAGGGAAGAGAAAGGACAGUACCUAAGGAGGAAGCUCCGGCUAACUACGUGCCAGCAGCCGCGGUAAUACGUAGGGGGCAAGCGUUAUCCGGAUUCACUGGGUGUAAAGGGAGCGUAGACGGCGACGCAAGUCUGGAGUGAAAGCCCGGGGCCCAACCCCAGGACUGCUCUGGAAACUGCGUCGCUGGAGUACGGGAG